UUUUCUGAUCCAACGCCAUGUAUUUAUUCAAUCCCUUUUAAUAAAACUGUCCAAAAAUUAGCCAUUCGCCCUAGAUAGCCUUCGUCUUCCUCGCACCCCUAUUACUCUGCUGCCUGCCGUUGCCGGAAAUCGCCUCCACCGGUGGUGAUGCCCCAAAUCCACACAAAAUUACACCAUAGGAUCUCCUUUUCCCCUCUUCUCAAAUCCGGAUUUAGUUUCACUCGAAUCAUAACUUCUCAAAUCCUCAAUCAAAAAUCCGGCCAAAAUGGUAACUCAUCCAAAUCCGACCAAGUUAACAUCAAAUCAUCUUCUCUCUUCCCUCAUCCCAAAUUUCCACUUGGUUUUCGUCGAAUAUCACAAAAAUUCGUCGAAUCGUUAAUCUAGUAUUUUUUGAAAUCAUGUCUGUUGGGGAUUCGAAUGCUUGAUUACUUUAAGCUAAUGUUACAUGUUUAUUUGAAACGAAAAAACACACUACAUUAAUUGAAAGCCAAGUUCGAGGCCAGUCAGUCACGAGGAGGUCAAAAUUUGUGAGUUUCUUUCUUACUAUCUGCUUAUAUUGUUCAUUUUUGUUGUGUUAAUAGUUUAGUUAAAUUUCAGUGUUUUUAGAAUUAGUUUAAUUCAUGACCAUGUUUGCCGAUUAAUCAAUUUAGGAUUAGAUUUCAUGGUCUCUCAUUUUCUAUUAUCAGUUUGUUUAACUAGCAAUUCGAUUAGGAUAGUUUGUGUUUAUAUGCUUGUUCUUCAUCUCUUUUGGUCAAUAUUGGGUAUUGGCUCGUCAAGUCAGUUAAAUUCAAUUUGGAGUUAAUUGUGGUAGAAUUAGUAAAUGCAUUUUGGCUUCUUUGAUUCGUUGCUUCAUGUCAAGUAGUCUGAUUAUGUAUUUAACCAAUUAGUUGCUGCAUUUUUGUUGAGGGUUCGUGAUCAAUUUAACUUCUUCAUUUAGAAGUUUUGUUUGAUUUUGAAUGGUUGAUUGAAGUUUUGUUUGUUUAAUCUUGGUUAUUUGAUAUGUGUGGUUAUAGAUGAUAGUGUUCUUAGUUAGUUUAAUAUAGGGUUGAGGUUAAUUGAGGUAAAUCAGUAAUUUCAGAAUCUAAAUAAGGGUAGUAUAGGCAUUCCAAAGGUAGAAAACAAAUCUAGAACACUCUAGGGCCUUCUAGAAGGGGACCUUAGUGUACGUUAUAGAAUUCUUUGAGCAGUUACUUGGGCAACAAGCCACAAAUUCAGGGACUAAUCUCAAAUAAUCACUAAAUUCAGCCGCAAUGCCUUCAUGUAGAAGUUUUUGGCCAUCAAAUCCCCCCCCCCCCCCCCCCCCCCCCCNNNNNNNNNNNNNNNNNNNNNNNNNNNNNNNNNNNNNNNNNNNNNNNNNNNNNNNNNNNNNNNNNNNNNNNNNNNNNNNNNNNNNNNNNNNNNNNNNNNNNNCCCCCGAAAGGCUUUCUCUCUGAUUUUCAGAUCUAAGCUUGAAAUUCAAACCUUCAAAAUCCAAAAAACAACAAAAAAUAGAAAAAUCAAAAAAAACUUUUACCGUUUCAUUGCCUUUUAAGAUCAUUUUUAAUUCCUAUUUGAAUCUAUAUUUCUACUCUAGUUUCGAGUUUUAGAAAAGCAUCUAGAAGGAUUUGAUAACUGGUUCAAGUGCAUUUGGGUCUUCUUGAGUUAGGUUUUGGUUGAGUUUUACUCCAGUGAAGUUUCAGAAGCAUCUAAGUUUAAUUUCGAAGGCAUUUGGAUGAUUUUCGGGUCAUUGUGGUGUUAUUCAAGUCAUUUGGGUCAAUUUCCUGCAUAAUUUGUGUGUUGUCAUCUGUUGAUAUCAUUUGAGACUGUUUUGGAUUGGGACAGGCUGUGAUUAUCCCUAGCUACUGCUUAUCUACUGAUCUACUUUGUUCUUCCUGUAUUGCACUUUUCCAGGUACACAUUUCGAGUUGGUUUUGAUGUAUCCUCCUCCUAUUGACAACAUGAAUAGAAGAUAAAAUCAAUUCUCUACUUUGGAUCUAUUAUUUUGUUAUAUCUAAAUAAUUUUGUUGUGAUUUUGUGGUUGAGCAGUGUAAUCACAUUUAGGAUGACUUAUUUGAAGUAGGUUAUGUAAUAAUUAGACUAUGUGCUUACUAUUUCAUGGGUUCAUAUUGUGAGUUAAAUGCAUAAGUUAGCUUCAGUAGUCAUAAAGUAGGUUUGAAUAGCUUCAUAUUUCAAUAUGUUAUUUAGGUAGUACUGUUAUGCAAUCGCGAUUCACUUGAAAGGUAAAGUCAGUUUGAAUUGUUUGGACUUAAAUUGUUUGAUUUAAAUUCCAGGCUACGUGGCUUUGUUUUUUAUUAAUUUGGCCCUUAGUGUUUUAAUGAGUGGGCUAGACUUAGCUCUAGUGGCCACGUUCGUUUGGUCCCUGGCUGAAGUCUGUGAAUGGUCAGAUUUUGGCAUGGGCCUAAGUGCAACUUUCCCUCCUUUGGCACACCCUGGAAGUUCAUGGCUUGUUUAAUUCAAAGCUAACAAACGGAAU
rnacentral:lncRNA from 1 species